CGCGGCCCUGCACGGCCUCGGCGCGCGGACGUCCGUGCACGCGGCGGACGUCACGGACGAGGCGGUGCUGCGCGGGAUCGUCGCCCGGGCCGCGGC
rnacentral:tRNA from 1 species